GGCGGCUGAGGCACUGGAGCAGGGUUGAUCGCGAAGUAGCCGCCCUGUUGUCUCUCAUUGUUGGAACAAAAGGCUGGUGAGAUCACAGGUCCCAUCUGAGGAACGCAGGACCCCAAGGUUCAGUAGCCACCAGGAUGUGGAUGCAUACAGUGCAAGAUCAUCUCUCCUACCUGUGGAGCCAGCAGCUUCCACAUGGGAGCUCACAUCUCAAUGAAAACAAGAAAUCUGAUGCCUCACUGACAACUCAUUUUCUCAACCUUCAUUCUGGGGAAAGGCGACUUUGUGUUCCAGCUGCCAUAUUGUAGCCGCAACCCCUGAUGCACCAUCAAUUAAAAACAGCAAUAAUUAUGCAUGGGAAAAAAGCCACAGAUAAUAGGCUUCCAUUAGAUUAAGUAGUUAUAUGAAUAAAAAAAUAAAACCUAUACUUCGGCUAAUUAAACCCACUCACCAUCUGAUUAAGAUGUGUUGUGAGACCAUGGAAAAGUACCAAC
rnacentral:lncRNA from 1 species